rnacentral:rRNA from 1 species
AGAGUUUGAUCCUGGCUCAGGACGAACGCUGGCGGUGUGCUUCACACAUGCAAGUCGAGCGGAUGAAGUAGGUAGCUUGCUACUUAUGGAUUUAGCGGCGGACGGGUGAGUAAUAUAUAGGAAUCUGCCCUAGAGCGGGGAACAACAGACCGAAAGGUUUGCUAAUGCCCCAUAGGUAUGCAGUCUUCGGAUUGUUUAUUAAGGGAGUAAUUCACUCUAGGAUGAGCCUGUAUCCGAUUAGCUUGUUGGCGGGGUAAUGGCCCACCAAGGCUACGAUCGGUAGUUGGUCUGAGAGGAUGAUCAGCCACAAUGGGACUGAGACACGGCCCAUACUCCUACGGGAGGCAGCAGUGGGGAAUUUUACACAAUGGGGAAACCCUGAUGUAGCGACACCGCGUGAACGAAGAAGCCUUUUGGGGUGUAAAGUUCUGUCGGCUGGAACGAAAAAAAUGACGGUACCAGCAAAGGAAGCAUCGGCUAACUACGUGCCAGCAGCCGCGGUAAGACGUAGGAUGCAAGCGUUGUCCGGAUUUAUUGGGCGUAAAGAGUUCGUAGGCGGUUAUUUAAGUCUGGUGUUAAAUACUGUGGCCCAACCACAGAACUGCAUUGGAUACUGGAUGACUUGAGUGCGGUAGAGGCGAGUGGAAUUCCCAGUGUAGCGGUGAAAUGCGUAGA